UGCAGUCGAGCGAACGGACGAGAAGCUUGCUUCUCUGAUGUUAGCGGCGGACGGGUGAGUAACACGUGGAUAACCUACCUAUAAGACUGGGAUAACUUCGGGAAACCGGAGCUAAUACCGGAUAAUAUUUUGAACCGCAUGGUUCAAAAGUGAAAGACGGUCUUGCUGUCACUUAUAGAUGGAUCCGCGCUGCAUUAGCUAGUUGGUAAGGUAACGGCUUACCAAGGCAACGAUGCAUAGCCGACCUGAGAGGGUGAUCGGCCACACUGGAACUGAGACACGGUCCAGACUCCUACGGGAGGCAGCAGUAGGGAAUCUUCCGCAAUGGGCGAAAGCCUGACGGAGCAACGCCGCGUGAGUGAUGAAGGUCUUCGGAUCGUAAAACUCUGUUAUUAGGGAAGAACAUAUGUGUAAGUAACUGUGCACAUCUUGACGGUACCUAAUCAGAAAGCCACGGCUAACUACGUGCCAGCAGCCGCGGUAAUACGUAGGUGGCAAGCGUUAUCCGGAAUUAUUGGGCGUAAAGCGCGCGUAGGCGGUUUUUUAAGUCUGAUGUGAAAGCCCACGGCUCAACCGUGGAGGGUCAUUGGAAACUGGAAAACUUGAGUGCAGAAGAGGAAAGUGGAAUUCCAUGUGUAGCGGUGAAAUGCGCAGAGAUAUGGAGGAACACCAGUGGCGAAGGCGACUUUCUGGUCUGUAACUGACGCUGAUGUGCGAAAGCGUGGGGAUCAAACAGGAUUAGAUACCCUGGUAGUCCACGCCGUAAACGAUGAGUGCUAAGUGUUANGGGGUUUCCGCCCCUUAGUGCUGCAGCUAACGCAUUAAGCACUCCGCCUGGGGAGUACGACCGCAAGGUUGAAACUCAAAGGAAUUGACGGGGACCNGCACAAGCGGUGGAGCAUGUGGUUUAAUUCGAAGCAACGCGA
rnacentral:rRNA from 1 species